UCAAAGCUUUCAUGGUGUAG
rnacentral:siRNA from 1 species